rnacentral:rRNA from 3 species
CGGACGACUCUCGGCAACGGAUAUCUAGGCUCUCGCAUCGAUGAAGAACGUAGCGAAAUGCGAUACCUGGUGUGAAUUGCAGAAUCCCGCGAACCAUCGAGUCUUUGAACGCAAGUUGCGCCCGAGGCCAUCCGGCCGAGGGCACGCCUGCCUGGGCGUCACGC